rnacentral:rRNA from 1 species
AGCGAACGCUGGCGGCAGGCCUAACACAUGCAAGUCGAGCGGGCAUCCUUGGGGCUUCUGCGGCCGACGGGUGCGUAACGCGUGGGAAUGAGCCCUGCGGAUCGGACUAACUAAGGGAAGCUUACGCUAAUACAGGAUAGCUGAGACAGCAGAAACGUUUACCUGACAAAGGUUAGGCCUGCAACAUGUUAGAUCGUUUGUGAGGUAAUGGCUCACCAAGGCGACGAUCAGUAGCUGGUCUGAGAGGAUGGUCAGCCACACUGGGAGAGGGACACGGACGGGACUCCUACGAGAGGAAGCAAUGGGGAACAUUGGACGACGGGGGCAACCCUGAGGCUGCCGUGCCGCGUGAGUGAUGUCGGCGUGAGGGUUGUAAAGCGCUGUUCACCGGGCCGCUAAUGACGGUACCUGCGGAAAAAGCCCCGGCUAACUUCGUG